rnacentral:lncRNA from 1 species
CUACGCUAAAAGUCACUAUCAGAUGUUCAUAAAAUUGCCUUAUAUAUAGUUAUUUUACUGUAAGAAAUAAUACAGAACCAGUUCAUUUCAAAGACCAAUAAGACAACAACACUACUGGUAAGCUUAUUCUUUUAUACAGAAAAGUUUAGUUUCUUAGCUAUUACUAUAUACUGAAUAGAAUUUCCCUACUUUAAAUUCUGUAAUAUAAUUUUUUAACCUUUCCUCUCUUCAUUACAUCUUGAAGACACUCCUCGUUUAUCCUAAGAUAGGAGAUUAAUUUAAAGGGAAAAACUACAUGAUCCAACAUCUCUUUGUCAACAUAGGUGAAAUGAUGUAAGGACACUAAAGAUGUUUCUGGAGUUCCACCUCAAGCUACAGUGAAGCAGCUUAUAUCAAACCAAUCUUUCCUGAAAGAAAAUCUGGAUUAAAUUUACAAAAGCAAAAAACUGUUCAAGACAUUGGACAGCAAUCAAAGCAACUAGGACUUGAGAGGCCAAUACCCUUAAAGGAAGGAAAACGCACUGACAUUCUCUGCCAUGUUGUUAGUCAAAGAAUUUGCCAAUUUCUGUGCACACCGAGGGGCAAAGAAGCCAAAAAGAAAGCAGUGGUUCAAAAGUUCGACUGUGUUGUGCCAGACACUCAAACUCUGAAUUCAGGAGAUCGGGACCAUCCUGGCUAACAUGGUGAAACCCCAUCUCUACUAAAAACACAAUAAAUUAGCCAGGUGUGGUGGCAUGUGCCUGUAGUCCCAGCUACUCGGCAGGCUGAGGCAGGAGAAUUGCUUGAACCCAAGAGGCAAAGGUUGCAGUGAGCCAAGAUCAUGCCACUGCACUCCAGCCUGGGUGACAGAGUGAGACUCUGUCUAAAAAAAACAAAACAAAACAAAACAAAAACAGAAUAGUAAAAUCUAGCCCUGGAAAAAUCCUUUCCUGGUGACCAAGACCUCACUGGUGACCAGAAUAUAGCACCACUUCCUCCUGGAUUUUGCCUCCCCUUGGAACCCUCAGUGCUUACACUGUCUGAGGGGACCCUGGUCCUCUGCACUGAGAAGCUGGGACCUCA